AUUGAACGCUGGCGGCAUGCCUUACACAUGCAAGUCGAACGGUAACAGGUCUUCGGAUGCUGACGAGUGGCGAACGGGUGAGUAAUACAUCGGAACGUGCCUAGUAGUGGGGGAUAACUACUCGAAAGAGUGGCUAAUACCGCAUGAGAUCUACGGAUGAAAGCAGGGGAUCGCAAGACCUUGUGCUACUAGAGCGGCCGAUGGCAGAUUAGGUAGUUGGUGGGAUAAAAGCUUACCAAGCCGAAGAUCUGUAGCUGGUCUGAGAGGACGAUCAGCCACACUGGGACUGAGAAACGGCCCAGACUCCUAAGGGAGGCAGCAGUGGGGAAUUUUGGACAAUGGGCGCAAGCCUGAUCCAGCAAUGCCGCGUGCAGGAUGAAGGCCUUCGGGUUGUAAACUGCUUUUGUACGGAACGAAAAGCCCCGGGUUAAUACCCUGGGGUCAUGACGGUACCGUAAGAAUAAGCACCGGCUAACUACGUGCCAGCCGCCGCGGUAA
rnacentral:rRNA from 1 species